rnacentral:rRNA from 1 species
GACGAACGCUGGCGGCGUGCUUAACACAUGCAAGUCGAACGGGCGGAUUUGGUAGCUUGCUAUCAUUGAAGCUAGUGGCAAACGGGUGAGUAACGCGUAGGCAACCUGCCUCCUGGAUGGGGACAACAUUCCGAAAGGGAUGCUAAUACCGAAUGAUGUAUGAUUUCCGCAUGGGAGUCAUACCAAAGGCCGAGCAAUCGGUCACCAGGAGAUGGGCCUGCGUCUGAUUAGCUAGUUGGUGGGGUAACGGCCCACCAAGGCGACGAUCAGUAGCCGGUCUGAGAGGAUGAACGGCCACAUUGGGACUGAGACACGGCCCAGACUCCUACGGGAGGCAGCAGUGGGGAAUCGUUCCACAAUGGACGGAAGUCUGAUGGAGCGACGCCGCGUGGACGAUGAAGGCCGUGAGGUUGUAAAGUCCUUUUC